UACGGAGGGAGCUAGCGUUAUUCGGAAUUACUGGGCGUAAAGCGCACGUAGGCGGCUUUGUAAGUUAGAGGUGAAAGCCCGGAGCUCAACUCCAGAAUUGCCUUUAAGACUGCAUCGCUCGAAUCCGGGAGAGGUGAGUGGAAUUCCGAGUGUAGAGGUGAAAUUCGUAGAUAUUCGGAAGAACACCAGUGGCGAAGGCGGCUCACUGGACCUGCAUUGACGCUGAGGUGCGAAAGCGUGGGGAGCAAACAGG
rnacentral:rRNA from 1 species